UACGUAGGGUGCGAGCGUUGCCCGGAUUUAUUGGGCGUAAAGGGCGCGUAGGCGGCCACGCACGUCCGUUGUGAAAUCGCCCGGCUCAACUGGGCGGGGUCAGCGGAUACGGUGUGGCUAGAGCAAGCUAGGGGGCAAUGGAAUUCCCGGUGUAGUGGUGAAAUGCGUAGAGAUCGGCAGGAACACCCAGGGGGAAACCAGUGGACUGGCACGGUGCUGACGCUCAGGUGCGAAAGCGUGGGGAGCGAACCGG
rnacentral:rRNA from 1 species